rnacentral:rRNA from 1 species
GGGGUAGUGGCUCACCAAGCGACGACGGGUAGCCGGCCUGAGAGGUGACCGGCCCACUGGGACUGAGACACGGCCCAGACUCCUACGGGAGGCAGCAGUGGGGAAUAUUGCGCAAUGGGCGGAAGCCUGACGCAGCGACGCCGCGUGGGGGAUGACGGCCUUCGGGUUGUAAACCUCUUUCAGCUCCGACGAAGCGGAAGUGACGGUAGGAGCAGAAGAAGCACCGGCUAACUACGUGCCAGCAGCCGCGGUAAUACGUAGGGUGCGAGCGUUGUCCGGAAUUAUUGGGCGUAAAGAGCUCGUAGGCGGCUUGUCGCGUCGGUUGUGAAAGCCCGGGGCUUAACCCCGGGUCUGCAGUCGAUACGGGCAGGCUAGAGUUCGGUAGGGGAGAUCGGAAUUCCUGGUGUAGCGGUGAAAUGCGCAGAUAUCAGGAGGAACACCGGUGGCGAAGGCGGAUCUCUGGGCCGAUACUGACGCUGAGGAGCGAAAGCGUGGGGAGCGAACAGGAUUAGAUACCCUGGUAGUCCACGCCGUAAACGGUGGGCACUA